GAUGAACGCUGGCGGCGCACCUAACACAUGCAAGUCGAACGGCACCCCUCCUCGGAGGGCAGCGAGUGGCGAACGGCUGAGUAACACGUGGAGAACCUGCCCCCUCCCCCGGGAUAGCCGCCCGAAAGGACGGGUAAUACCGGAUACCCCGGGGUGCCGCAUGGCACCCCGGCUAAAGCCCCGACGGGAGGGGAUGGCUCCGCGGCCCAUCAGGUAGACGGCGGGGUGACGGCCCACCGUGCCGACAACGGGUAGCCGGGUUGAGAGACCGACCGGCCAGAUUGGGACUGAGACACGGCCCAGACUCCUACGGGAGGCAGCAGUGGGGAAUCUUGCGCAAUGGGGGGAACCCUGACGCAGCGACGCCGCGUGCGGGACGGAGGCCUUCGGGUCGUAAACCGCUUUCAGCAGGGAAGAGUCAAGACUGUACCUGCAGAAGAAGCCCCGGCUAACUACGUG
rnacentral:rRNA from 1 species